UUUUUUUUUUUCCCGGGGAGUCGGCCUCGGGGCUCUGCUCUCCUACCUCAGUCUGCCCUACCCUGGAAUGGGGAAAAUGCGGACAUGCCACUCAGUCCGGCCGCGAACAGUGCUCCAGAACUCAGAGAGUUUUCCAGACGGGUGGAGAUCGCGUUCCCUGCCCGCCGAGGUCCCAUCGCUUCCCUGCUGGGAAGACAAAUGAGGCGCUUUAGCCGUCUCCACGGCCAGCCCCUCCCUCAUAACCCGAGAUUCUUUGUGGGCUCUUAGUCCAUAGCUGCCUUUGAGGUGGUGUAGACCUUGCUAACCAGGACGGCCCAGUAGGCAGAGCUCAUUUUUAUUCCUGUCUGCAAUCGUGCAAAAACGCCUCUUAUGGAAAAGCCAGAGCGCCAGGAGUCAGCAAAACACACUAAAGAUUGGGCAGUCACUGGGGAGAACACUCAGCCCGCCUGCACCCAGGUGAAAUAUACAGCCUUGUUGCUCACACAAAGCCUGUUUGGUGGUUUCUUCACACGGAUGCAUGUGACAUUUGGUGCUGAAGACCCAGGACAGGAGGACUCCUUUGGGAGACCAGUGCCCUGUUGUCGCCCUCACUCCGUGAGGAGAUCCACCUAUGAUCUCAGGUCCUCAGACCAACCAGCCCAAGGAACAUCUUGCCAAUUUCAAAUCGGGUUGUCAGAAUCUGCAGAGAAGCUUCCUCCAAUCUCCAGCCUGAGAGUUCAGGCCUGGUUACCAGCAUUCUAGAAGCUGAAAGAGGAGAAGUUCUUGGAAGACUAAGAAGUCCAACAUUCGGUAUACAAAUAUUAGUCUUUAGCCUUUGCUCUUUUUUUCUAUAAUACCGUGUAGUUUCUGUCUCCUGAAUGGACCCAGACUGAUGCUAUAACUCAGCCUUUAACUGAUUCUGGUAUUCCCCAGUCAAGAGAUCCUUGAUUUCACUCUUUCUGAUGAAUCGACCUCCAGUGUUUUACCUGGAGUCAGGAGAACUAACAAUUUCUUCAACAAUUAUUCUAUUCUUAGCCAUACCUUCCCCUUUCUCCUCCCCUUCCAAAGGUAGCUGGGGCCACCAAAUCUUGAACCUUUGUGGGUUCUUUGGUGUAAACUACUUUGCUUUUGGCUACCCCCGCUGCCUGCUGAAGCUUCAGCUUUCCAGGUUCUACUAAGACAGCUAUUACUCAUAAUCUGUUUUCCACCUUCCAAAA
rnacentral:lncRNA from 1 species